UCAACAUGAGAGUUUGAUCCUGGCUCAGAACGAACGCUGGCGGCAGGCUUAACACAUGCAAGUCGAGCGCCCCGCAAGGGGAGCGGCAGACGGGUGAGUAACGCGUGGGAA
rnacentral:rRNA from 1 species